rfam:Toxocara canis scaffold602, whole genome shotgun sequence.
GCGGCAGUAGCUCAGUGGUAGAAUCCCCGCUUCACAUGCGGGGAGACCUGAAUUCGAUUCCCGGCUGCUCCU